CUGGCCUUGAACACUUCCAGGGAUGUGGCACCCACAGCUUCUCUGGCCAAUCUGUGCCAGUGCCGGAAACAGACAAUGAUGUAGCAGAAAGUGCUGCAAAUCUGCUGAUUCCAUAAACCUGAGAUUUUAUCUGAAAGAAUGCAACACAGGGGCACAACUGAGACACCAAGUAACUACUGCCCCAGGCCACUGCUCCAGCUUUCCUUACAGGCUUCCAUGGAAGAGUUGCUCUGCCAAGUUCAGGGCAAGACAAAAGAAACCAUUACAGGAAGUGGAGUGAGCUCCUGCCUAUAGUAUCAGUCUUUGGCUGCAGAAUGUGGACAAGUCAAAGGCUCCUGAAGUGUUUGUUUUAUCCAGACUGACUCAGAAGGAGGAAAUUGCAACCACAGCCAAUCAUUUAUAUUAAAAAAAUACCCUAUUGAAGCAUAAUCAUCUUCAUCAGAACUUGAAUGACUAUACCACUCACAGGUUUUAUGUUCUUAAACUACACAAGAAUUAUGAUGUUUGUACCUGCUUUCAACACAGGACACAAGGAGAAGAAAGAAUUCAGGUAUUAUACCAUUUCUAGAUCCAAAAUAAAAUUCUGGCUUUCACAAAUAAGCACUUCUGCAAAUUGAGUUGAGAUGCAUCUGACAGGAAAAACUUAAGAGCACUUUCAAGUUGGAAAGUCGAUUAGCACCAACUAUAAAACUAAUUUUGAGCUCAGUAAAUAACAAUUUACAUUGCACAAACAGAACUUGAGUUACUACACACAAAGGGCAUUUUGGACCACUUCCCACAUUCAGCCCGUGGCUGUCAGGAUGCUGCCUGGAGCUAAUGGAUUUUCCCUGCUGCCAGCAAGCGGCCACACAGCACGAAGCCCACUUGUGUACUCAGCACAGCAAUUUGAUUCCAAGGAAUGUUCAGUUUGCCUCCUCACAGGAUAUUCAUGUGGAAGACCAUGAAAAUGUUCAAGGAUGACAGAAAAAUUGGUCAGAAAAUAAGAGAGUGAUCUUUGUGGCUGUGUCUCCUUCUGGAAAGAAGAGUGUCAUGCCUCUUGAACAUUCUGCCCUAAGACAGGAGAGUGAAAUGCCAGAUUGCCAAAGAGCUGCAACUUCUGAAGAUGGAGGUUCAAACUAUUCAUGGAUACACCAUAUGACUCAUGUGCAAUGUUCUCUGGUGGAUGAGCAACCGCGAGUAUGUGAUGGGAGAGCAAUGAAAAUUUACACAAAGGGAGCAUUUGUGGAUUACUCUGAGCUCGGAGUAAGUCUAAUUUCAAUUCUGUUAAUACUGUUUUCUUGCUAUCUGUACAGUUCUAAAUUAUGUUGGUUGUUAAUCAAUUCCAAUUCAAACAAUUUAUGGGAGGUAUUUUUAAGUUGUGAAACAAUUCAACCUGUAAUGGACUAUGACUGCUGUUUCCACAGCUGGUGUAGACUGCUGCUCUUGCUUUUGGCGAUCUAAA